GACAGAGGUGCCGAGCGUUAGGCGGAAUCACUGGGCUUAAAGCGUGUGUAGGCGGAUCUGUAAGUACCUUGUGAAAUCCCACGGCUCAACCGUGGAACUGCUUGGUAUACUGCGGGUCUUGAGCCACCUAGGGGCAAGUGGAACAAACGGUGGAGCGGUGAAAUGCGUAGAUAUCGUUUGGAACGCCAAUGGUGAAAACAACUUGCUGGGGUGUGCUGACGCUGAGACACGAAAGCCAGGGGAGCAAACGGG
rnacentral:rRNA from 1 species